UACAGAGGUCUCAAGCGUUUGUUCGGAUUCAUUGGGCGUAAAGGGUGCGUAGGCGGCGCGGUAAGUCGGGUGUGAAAUUUCGAGGCUUAACUUCGAAACUGCAUUCGAUACUGCCGUGCUUGAAGACUGGAGAGGAGACUGGAAUUUACGGUGUAGCGGUGAAAUGCGUAGAUAUCGUAAGGAAGACCAGUGGCGAAGGCGGGUCUCUGGACAGUUCCUGACGCUGAGGCACGAAGGCCAGGGGGAGCAAACGGG
rnacentral:rRNA from 1 species